rnacentral:rRNA from 1 species
CUCUGUGACUCCUACGGGAGGCAGCAGUGGGGAAUAUUGCACAAUGGGGGAAACCCCUGAUGCAGCCAUGCCGCGUGUGUGAAGAAGGCCUUCGGGUUGUAAAGCACUUUCAGUAGGGAGGAAGGUAGUGUAGUUAACACCUGCACUAUUUGACGUUACCUACAGAAGAAGCACCGGCUAACUCCGUGCCAGCAGCCGCGGUAAUACGGAGGGUGCGAGCGUUAAUCGGAAUUACUGGGCGUAAAGCGCAUGCAGGCGGCCUGUUAAGUCAGAUGUGAAAGCCCGGGGCUUAACCUCGGAAUUGCAUUUUGAAACUGGCAGGCUAGAGUCUUGUAGAGGGGGUAGGAAUUUCAGGUGUAGCGGUGAAAUGCGUAGAGAUCUGAAGGAAUACCAGUGGCGAAGGCGGCCCCCUCGGACAAAGACUGACGCUCAGAUGCGAAAGCGUGGGGAGCAAACAGGAUUAGAUACCCUCGGUAG